AAGCUCGUAGUUGAAUUUCGGGAUCAGUAUGUUGGUCGUGCUUCGGUACGUACUGUCAUUACUGGUUUCUCCCUUCUGAAGAACCUUGAUGUCAUUAAUUUGGUGUCUUGGGGAAUCAGGACUGAUACUUUGAAAAAAUUAGAGUGUUUAAAGCAGGCAUACGCUUGAAUACAUUAGCAUGGAAUAAUGAAAUAGGACGUUUGAUUCUAUUUUGUUGGUUUCUAGGAUCGACGUAAUGAUUAAUAGGGAUAGUUGGGGGCAUUAGUAUUCAAUUGUCAGAGGUGAAAUUCUUGGAUUUAUUGAAGACUAACUACUGCGAAAGCAUUUGCCAAGGAUGUUUUCAUUAAUCAAGAACGAAAGUUAGGGGAUCGAAGACGAUCAGAUACCGUCCUAGUCUUAACCAUAAACUAUGCCGACUAGGGAUCGGAUGAUGUUAUUUUUAAUGACUCAUUCGGCGCCUUACGGGAAACCAAAGUGUUUGGGUUCCGGGGGGAGUAUGGUCGCAAGGCUGAAACUUAAAGGAAUUGACGGAAGGGCACCACCAGGGGUGGAGCCUGCGGCUUAAUUUGACUCAACACGGGGAAA
rnacentral:rRNA from 1 species